UACGUAGGGGGCAAGCGUUGUCCGGAAUCAUUGGGCGUAAAGAGCGUGUAGGCGGCUUGGUAAGUCCGCUGUGAAAGUCCAGGGCUCAACCCUGGAAAGCCGGUGGAAACUGUCAAGCUUGAGUCCGGAAGAGGAGAGUGGAAUUCCCGGUGUAGCGGUGAAAUGCGCAGAUAUCGGGAAGAACACCCGUGGCGAAGGCGGCUCUCUGGGACGGUACUGACGCUGAGACGCGAAAGCGUGGGGAGCGAACAGG
rnacentral:rRNA from 1 species